GCCGUCGUUCAUACUGCGUCGAAUGCACCGGAUCCCAUCUGAACUCCGAAGUUAAGCGGCGCAAGGCCGCGGUGGGGGACUCCGCGGGAAUCCCUUUGGGUGAUGACGGCC
rnacentral:rRNA from 1 species